rnacentral:rRNA from 1 species
AUACGGAGGGGGCAAGCGUUAUUCGGAAUCACUGGGCGUAAAGGAUGCGUAGGCUGGAUGUCAAGUUGGAAGUGAAAUCCUAUGGCUUAACCAUAGAACUGCUUCCAAAACUGGCAACCUAGAGUGAGGGAGAGGCAGAUGGAAUUAGUGGUGUAGGGGUAAAAUCCGUAGAUAUCACUAGGAAUACCGAUUGCGAAGGCGAUCUGCUAGAACUCUACUGACGCUAAGGCAUGAAAGCGUGGGGAGCAAACAGGAUUAGAAACCCCAGUAGUCC